GAUGAACGCUGGCGGCGUGCUUAACACAUGCAAGUCGAACGAUGAAGCCCAGCUUGCUGGGUGGAUUAGUGGCGAACGGGUGAGUAACACGUGAGUAACCUGCCCUUAACUCUGGGAUAAGCCUGGGAAACUGGGUCUAAUACCGGAUAGGAGCGUCCACCGCAUGGUGGGUGUUGGAAAGAUUUAUCGGUUUUGGAUGGACUCGCGGCCUAUCAGCUUGUUGGUGAGGUAAUGGCUCACCAAGGCGACGACGGGUAGCCGGCCUGAGAGGGUGACCGGCCACACUGGGGCUGAGACACGGCCCAGACUCCUACGGGAGGCAGCAGUGGGGAAUAUUGCACAAUGGGCGCAAGCCUGAUGCAGCGACGCCGCGUGAGGGAUGACGGCCUUCGGGUUGUAAACCUCUUUCAGUAGGGAAGAAGCGAAAGUGACGGUACCUGCAGAAGAAGCACCGGCUAACUACGU
rnacentral:rRNA from 1 species